rnacentral:rRNA from 1 species
GACGAACGCUGGCGGCGUGCUUAACACAUGCCAGUCGAACGGAAAGGCCCUGCUUUUGUGGGGUGCUCGAGUGGCGAACGGGUGAGUAACACGUGAGUAACCUGCCCUUGACUUUGGGAUAACUUCAGGAAACUGGGGCUAAUACCGGAUAGGAGCUCCUGCUGCAUGGUGGGGGUUGGAAAGUUUCGGCGGUUGGGGAUGGACUCGCGGCUUAUCAGCUUGUUGGUGGGGUAGUGGCUUACCAAGGCUUUGACGGGUAGCCGGCCUGAGAGGGUGACCGGCCACAUUGGGACUGCGAUACGGCCCAGACUCCUACGGGAGGCAGCAGUGGGGAGUAUUGCACAAUGGGCGGAAGCCUGAUGCAGCAACGCCGCGUGCGGGAUGACGGCCUUCGGGUUGUAAACCGCUUUCGCCUGUGACGAAGCGUGAGUGACGGUAAUGGGUAAAAAAGCACCGGCUAACUACGUG